rnacentral:rRNA from 1 species
GACGAACGCUGGCGGCGUGCCUAAUACAUGCAAGUCGAGCGGUAAAGGUUGGUACUUGUACCGACCUGGUGUGCAGCAAACGGGUGAGUAACGCGUGUGGCAUCUGCCUUAGAGUGGGGUACCUCAUUUAGACACGAAUUCUAAUCCCGUAUAAACACUUGAAGCACAAGGUUUAAGUUUAAAAUAUGCAGGUUCAGCAUUCAAAGGUGAUUCCUCGUUGUAUUAGCUAGUUGGUGAGGUAAAGGCUCACUAAGGCGAUGAUACAUAGCCGAACUGAGCGGAUGAUCGGCCAGAUUGAGAGUGAGACCCGGCCCAAACUCACACAGGAGGCGGCCGUAGGGAUUCGUCGGCAAUGGGCGAAAGUCUGAGCGAGCAACGCGGCGUGAGUGAAGAAGGACUUCGGAUCGUAAAACUCUGUUGGUAGAGUGGAAAGUGGGUGAGAGUGGGAAGCACAGCAAGUGACGGUAACUGGCCAGAAAGCGACGGCUAACUACGUG